rnacentral:rRNA from 1 species
AUGGCGCCCUCACGCAGAGCGGACCGGCUCCUCUUCCUCCCCCUCGCGCUGCUGCACCUCCUCUCCUCCUGCCCGCACACCGCCAGCGGCGCGCCCAACACGGCACCGCUCUCCGUGAUCUGCAACGGCGCGGUGUACGGCGCCGGGGACCCCUUCGCGGAGAGCCUCGCCUACGUGCUGGCCGUCCUGCUGGCCGCCACGCCGCAGUCCCGCUCCCGCGACGCCUACAGCAUCUCCCCGUACCCGAACGCGUUCGCCUACGGCCACGCCGUGUGCCGCGCCGGUCUGUCGGGCGCGGACUGCGCGAGCUGCCUCGGCUCCGCCGUCAGCCAGAUGAACGCCACCUGCAGCCACGCCGUCGGCGCGAGGGCCGUGCUCGUGGACUGCAGCGUGCGGUACGAGCAGUACGCCUUCGUGGCUUAG